GACAGAGGGUGCAAACGUUGUUCGGAAUUACUGGGCGUAAAGCGCGUGUAGGCGGCCCUGCAAGUCGGAUGUGAAAUCCCACGGCUCAACCGUGGAAGUGCAUUCGAAACUGCAGGGCUAGAGUCCUGGAGAGGAAGGUGGAAUGCUUGGUGUGAGAGGUGAAAUUCGUAGAUAUCAAGCGGAACACCGGUGGCGAAGGCGGCCUUCUGGACAGUGACGUGACGCUGAGACGCGAAAC
rnacentral:rRNA from 1 species